GACGAACGCUGGCGGCGUGCCUAAUACAUGCAAGUCGAGCGAAUCUUGAGGUGCUUGCACCUCUUGGUUAGCGGCGGACGGGUGAGUAACACGUGGGCAACCUGCCUGUAAGACUGGGAUAACUUCGGGGAACCGGAGCUAAUACCGGAUAAUUCCUUUUCCUCUCAUGGGGAAAAGCUGAAAGUCGGUUUACGCUGACA
rnacentral:rRNA from 1 species